ACUCAAGAUGACUCGUGCCGUAAGGUGUUUGGUUAAGUCCCACAACGAGCGCAACCCUCGUGUUUAGUUGCUAUCGUUGAGUUUGGAACCCUGAACAGUUUGCCGGUGAUAAGUCGGAGGAAGGUGAGUAUGACAUCAAGUCAU
rnacentral:rRNA from 1 species